rnacentral:rRNA from 1 species
UACAGAGGGGGCAAGCGUUAAUCGGAAUUACUGGGCGUAAAGCGUGCGUAGACGGUUACAUAAGUCGGGUGUGAAAGCCCCGGGCUCAACCUGGGAAUUGCAUUCGAGACUGCGUAGCUAGGGUACGGUAGAGGGAAGCGGAAUUUCCGGUGUAGCGGUGAAAUGCGUAGAUAUCGGAAGGAACACCAGUGGCGAAAGCGGCUUCCUGGACCAGUACCGACGUUCAGGCACGAAAGCGUGGGGAGCAAACAGG